rnacentral:rRNA from 1 species
UACGAAGGGGGCGAGCGUUGUUCGGAUUUACUGGGCGUAAAGGGCGCGCAGGCGGCUUUGUUUGUCAGGCGUGAAAGCCCCGGGCUUAACCUGGGAACUGCGCUUGAUACGGCAGGGCUAGAGUUCGGGAGAGGAGAGUGGAAUUCCCAGUGUAGAGGUGAAAUUCGUAGAUAUUGGGAAGAACACCGGUGGCGAAGGCGGCUCUCGGGACCGAGAAUGACGAUGAGGCGCGAAAGCGUGGGGAGCAAACAGG